AAACGUUGGUCCCCAGUAGGGGACGCAGUCCGAUCUCAAACAAGCAACGGGGUUUGAGG
ncrna:Synechococcus sp. CC9311 Glutamine-II riboswitch (downstream peptide RNA)